UAUCAGAUGGAAACAGCACUCUCUGCACCUCUCCUCCCCCGUGCCGUGGUCGCAGGAAGUGUAUAGUGAGCUUGUCAACCAUUCUGUCAGAGGCAAGGAUAUUGGGGACGCCAAGAACCUCCACGACUAUACCCUCCAUUGUGAAGUUCUGUCAACACUUGAGAACGAGAUGAGCAACGUGACCGAAGUUGAAACCACAUCAUGCAAGUAAUGGAGACUAUAAAGGCCAUGUAAGGUUUAGGCUACCUAUAACCACGGUGGAGACACAACAGAGCCUCAAACCAUCCCAGUUCUCUCUAGCAGACACUACUGGAAAGGACAGAGCCACGACAGGCCAAGCCUCGCUGAAUGGUCUGCAUAUUGAAACAUUAACUCAUUUACGGUUUCCUGUCGGCUCACAUGUGUGCAUGUGCAGCAAACUAAAGAUUUGCGUGACACUUUCCCCACUAGGGGACAGCCGAGGACUGCUCAAGGUGUCUGUUUGGUCGCAAUCUACAGUGUUACCGUUUCAGCAACACAGUCCAUCCAGAACAAUCUCACUGGCUGUGUAGCAUACAAUCCCAUGGAAUCGAUCCACUGUAGACACCUCCCCCCUCUUCCCUGGCACCACCACCAGGUUUCACAAGGAAGAAUGGCUAGGCCUGGCCCCAGUUUGUGUAACAAUAACCACUUCGGGGUGAAGUUUCCCCUAGGCAUAGAUCUAGGAUCAGCUUCCACUCCCCCAAUCUUAACCAUUAGUAGGGGAAAUGUAAAACUGACCCAAGAUCAGCAUCUAGGGGCAACUACACCCUGUUUGUGCCAUUGACAUGACAAUGACCAAUUGAUCUAGGACCAUGCUGAAGUCAAAGUCAAUGAGAGGGCUCCAAACCAUGCCUCAAUGGCCUGACUGGCCUCAAUGGAAAAACUUCAGAGAAGAUUUAAUGGAGAAAAAAACAAUUGUCUCAUUGUGAACUCUUAAUCAGCGUUGUAAGCUGUCGGAAAUGGAAGGAUGACAAACGCAUACAACACCAGAUGUCUGAAGUUCUCUCCAUUGGGAGGGAAGCUAGCUAUUAUUAGCCAGACACACUUGAGUCAGGGCUAAGGAAACAGCAUAUCUGCAGACGGUAAUGUCCAGGUCACCCUCUCUCUCACACUGUACUGUUCCGAGCCUGACGGGAACAGGCUUAUCAUAAAAAUACAAGUCCCGACUUCCCAAAGAUUCUCUUCCAUUAUGAACACACACAUUGGACCCGAGAUAAUCUAAAAUACAGAGGCCAUCAAUCAGGUCCGUCUGUCAAUCAUUGAGGAGGAAAAUGUCAGCACCCAUUUUCAAUUAAAUCAAUUUACGAGGAUCAUAGACCAAGGCAGGUGUCUUUGCAUGGCAUAUUCCAUAUGGCCUAAAGAGACCUCUUGUUGUCGAAGUGUGACUUAGUAAAAAAAGAUUUUACCAAAUGUUUACAUUCUGGCAUAAAGAGCAUGUUCAACUUCAUUAAAAACUUGUUUUCCCAUCUCAAGAGGUUAAAUAAAUAACAAAUACUAUAAUAAGUGCCAAAUAAAGUGACAGGGUUGACCAUAACAGGGUUAACUGUAACAGUGUUGACGAUAUUAUGAUGGAUUUCCUAUUCAACAAAACUGUAUGAACAAGGCUUGAAAUGAUUUAUAUUUUCUCUAAAUAUAUUAGAAUCAAUUUAGAAAAUGUCUAACUAUAAGAUUUCACCUUAUAACUGUUAAAUAUAUGCCUGUAUAUUUACUGUUAGAGAAAAUGUGCAUGUUUUCUAAAGGUCUUUCUUGAUCAUAAAGUCUGCCCCCAUCGCUUUGAAUGUCUCAAAGAGCUCUAGCUAGGCUUCCUGAACUUGUUAGGAACUCACCUUUCAUCACAUAUGAAUAUUUUUUUUUACAUCUAUGACAAACAGAAAGUGUUUUUUGUUUAAAAUCUAUGAAUUAGUUUAGAUUACUGGCUAUAAAUCGAUCUCUGAAUGUGCUACAGAGACAAAACCACUCUCCUGCUGCGUUACGAUGUAAGGCAUAUGCGUUGUUAGUGACUGUGACGUAUGGUUCAGUCAGGAGUGGAUGGACAGUCGGAAAAACAAAUGAAAUGGUAGGACAUCCCAUCUUCAAGUGGUGUCAGAUUUCACAUCCUGCUUCACACAGGCAAAAUAGAAUCAGGGCUAUCGCUCAAUGCAAGCCAUUGCGAUCUACGGUGUCCACAGAUGGAUUUAUAAGAGAAAAUGUUGUUUGGGACCGGUACCAGAAACACGCAGGUCUCCUAAACAAGGGACUUAACAUCGAAGAGAUUUUAAAUCAGCCAUUACUCUCCUUGUGACAGGGGCAUUUGAAUGCAAGCUUUUUAAAUUUUAAUUAUUGUUAAAACAUUUCUAGUCUGACUAUCUAUGGGUGACAGGGUUGAUGUGUUAUGCUCGACCCGCUCAGUUUUCCACCACAAAACACCAGAAAAUGCCCAAAAAGUGUAAAACCAGCUAACAUGCUUUUACACUAUGAUUUUACUCUUAGGUGUUCAAUGUUUAUUUAGAAAAAAUAUUUAAAAAAGGAUAGUUUCACCAUAUUAAAACGAGAGUUCAGUUCAUGCGACAGGGUUUACCUUAAAAUGAGGGCCUGGCGUAAAUGAAUCACUAAUCACAGGAAAUAAAAGAUAAUCUACAGAAAUUACUUUUUUUGCCGUUUUAAGCAACCAAAUGAUUAGGGCUUUACAAUGAUGGUGGGUUAAAAUGUUCCUAGAAGUCAGAUAUGGUACACAGAGGGAUGUCAAAAUGCUGAAUUUUGGCACUAAAGAAAGUCUUUAUUCAUAUUAAAAAUCUGAUUUAUUGAAUUCUCCAUCUGAUCUGUAUUAAAGGGCACUUCAUUUAAUAUAACAGGCUUUUAAAAUGCAAUAUUGAUGCACAAUUUCUACCUAAAAUAUCAUAAAGGACGCAAAAGGCACUCAUUUUGUGGAAUGACCCUGUUAUUCACUCUUUUUAUUUCCCUGAGCCUUUCUGCUCUGCCGUACUGUAACCAUUUUAAGCUCUUCUGCACUCUGGAUUCAGAACAGAGUUUAUAAUCCAUAAAAACAGAACAUGAUUUAUGUUUUGGCCUGUUGUUUGUGUUGUGUUCUGCGAAAGAUAACUGUCAUUGUUACAUCCCAAAUGGCACCCAUUUCCCUAUAUAGUGCAAUACUUUUGACCAUAGCUAUGGGCCCUGGUCAAAAGUUGUGCACUAAAUAGGGAAUAGUGUGCCAUUUGGGAUGCUACCAUACUGUCAUAACUGUUCCUGCAGCUCCAACCUCCUGCUUCCAGCUGUUGUUGCAGCAUGGGAAGGGGCGGUGUCCUGUACGGCUCGGCCCUUUGGGACAGAGUGUCCCUCUCCCAUCUCUGCCUGCCUCCUUCCUGUCUGGAGCACUAGACUAUGCCCUUAUAUGACACACUCUCACCCAGCAAAUAAACCUUCCACCUCACGCCUCAAAUCCUCCAUGAUCUCUCCAUUUAUCCAUCCAUCCCAUCACUCCAUCCAUCCACUUCAUUCAUCCAUUCAUUCAUUAACUGAGCUUAAUCUAUGUCUACUAUCUUCCUCUCUCCUUCUCUCCCCAAAUCGACCUCCAUCCUGUCCAAUUCCCUUCCUGUAUCCGCCCUACAUUUGCAAUCGUAUCCUGUCUGUGUGGGAGAUUGAGAGUUUUUCUUUUUUAAUGAUGUAAUGGUGUAUAAACGCUGGGUAAUCUCAUUUUUCUCAGAGGGCCUAAUCCCAACCAACCAAAGUCCACUCAGUCCCAGCUGUUGAGAGAGAAGUACUGCCCUGUCCCUUAGGAGGAAAA